GUGCUCACUUUGGCAGCACAUAUACUAAAAUUGGAAUGAUACAGAGAAGAUUAGCAUUGCCCCUGAGCAAGGAUGACAUGCAAAAUUUUGAAGCGUUCCAUAUUUUA
rnacentral:snRNA from 1 species